CCGUCACGGUCAUAACAGGUGUAACGUUAGGCUAGUGUACAGUCAGUGAGUGCAGUUUCUCUGAGAAAUACUUGUUAAAAUUAAUUAAUAGAUUAUACUACUGCUUUAUUAAUUCAUGAUGCAAUAGUGCUGUUUUUAAUGUCAGAUUUCGUCACUUGGCGGAGUUGCACUUAAUUUUGCUUAAUAAAAUGAUGCUUUAAACAUAAUCAAUGCGUCUCAUGCCAAAUAACUAUAGCAUGUAAUUUAUUGUUUAAGUUUUCACUGUUUAUCAUUGGGUCAGUGUAGCUCAAGUGAUCCAAUAGUGACGUAAACAAUACUGUUUCCAGGUUCAAGGCUCUAUUGUUUAAAGUGUUAAACAGCAGUUUAUGAGCAUUAGUUAUUUAUAGCACACCUUUUAAACAAAGCUUUUAAACAGUUUCACUGUACUCUUCAGUCUCCAGGGUCUCGGACAGUAAUAUUUUAACAUAUUGAAUUCUUAUCCGUCUUUCACAGGAACCACUGAUUACACAAACAUUAGAACACCUCAGGUCAACAGUAAAUACUGUUAUAAAUGGGCAUCAGCUGGACCUUGACUAUUUUCACCACAUCCUAAAUCAGGAAGUCUUUAUUUUGAUAUCUGCCUCCACAAUUUUUAAGGUGCCUCAUGACAUUUUGGAGACCCUUAUGACUCUACAAAGAAAAGUUCAUGCAGCGCUUGAACAAGAGGCCUCCCCAAUUCUAAUAACAGAAUCUGGUGGUGGACGAGGCCGGCCUAAGUACAUUGUUUCUGAGGAACUGCUGUCCCGACUCAUUGACAUGUCUUUACCCAUUUCUUGCAUUGCAAAUAAUUUAGAAGUCAGCCAGUCAACCAUCUUCCUCCGAAUGCGUGAAUUAGGUCUUUCUACAAAAAAUACUUAUAGUACCCUUACUGACCAGGAAGUUGAUGCUCCUGGCAUUUUAGAAAGGAUGACACAGCUGGGGUGCAUUGUCAGGAGGACAUAUUUCGUACAACAACCUUUGUCCUUGGUCCAUAUUGACACCAAUCACAAACUCAUAAGGUACAACAUUGUCAUAUUCGGGGGGAUAGAUGGGUACUCGUGAAAGAUCAUGUACCUGGAACCAGCAUCUAACAAUUGCUCGAGCAAUGCCCUUACAUUCGUUCUUAAGUCUGUGCAGAACCAUGGCUGGCCUUCAAGAUGUUGUAUUUAUUUAGGGUUAGGGGUGAUGAAGGUGUGGAAAAUGUAAGAGUUCCAGAAACCAUGUUCAGAGUGAAAGGCACAGGAAGAGGGAGCUUUAUCACUGGCAAAAGCAUACAUAAUCAAAGAAUUGAACGUCUGUGGCGAGAUGUCUGGCUUGGUGUAACACAGCUGUAUUAUGAUGUUCUCCACAGCCUUGAGGAAGAUGGUUUGUUGGACUUAUCUGAUUCUCUUCAUGUGUUCUGUACACACUAUGUAUUCAUCCCACGCCUGCAGCGCGACCUCCAUACUUUUUCUGAAGGCUGGGAUAAUCACCCAUUACGGUCUGAAGGUGGACUCACCCCUAACCAGCUGUGGGUUUUGGGACACAUGCAGAAUUCAACCCAGGAUGAGGAGGAAUUGCAGCUUAAAUUUUUAUUAAAUUCUAUAUACUUUUGCUGUGUUGUCAAAUUAUUUGUUACUGUUGCUUAAAGUAUAAUGCAACAGUUUUCUAUAAUACAUUUAAGAAUCUGGAGCUGUUUGGAACAGACUGGGAGACAUUUGACAGCGUAGAUGAAGCUGGAGGAGUUCACGUACCAGAAAUUCAGUGCCCACUGACUGCUGCUGCGAUGGAAAUUGUAAAAUCAACAAUUGAUCCUCUUGCACCAUCUGACUCUUAUGGAAGAGAUAUUUAUACAUCUUUGCUUCAAUAUGUUAAAAGAAUGUUGACAACAACACAAUGACUGUCUAAAAGUUUAUCUGCAGUGGACAAUUAAAAAAGUUUGUACAUAUUCAGACAUACGAAAUAAGUAAUCAUUGUAAAUGUUGUGUAGAAGAGAUUUAUAAAAAUUUUUCGUGAAGAUUUUAACACUUAAUGAUUUAUUGUAUAGAAUUUCAUGACGUACAUAUUCAGACAUAUGAAAUAAGUAAUAAUUGUAAAUGUUGUGUAAAAGAUAUUUAUAAUAAUUUACAUAAAGAUGUUAACACUUAAUAAAAGGAAUUACGUUAAAUAGAUUAUCCACCCAAAACUAUUUUUUGUAUUGCAUAGAACAGAAAAUAUUAAUGAACAAUGCAUUCUACAGAGCCUAUAAUGGGACAUGGUAAUGGAAAAAUUGAGAGGGGAUAAAUUUCUUUCUUCUUCUAUUAUGUUGCUUUAGGUGCUCCGUAAAAUGUUAUUCAUUACCUGUGCCUUUCCGAACAAGGUAUUUGUCUUUGGUUAACAUUAGGAAUGUGUCCUAUUAUUUUAAAAAGAAAUUAUCCUAAGGAAGACAAUUUUACUCUACUGCUAACAAAAGGCACUUAAAAAGCUGACCUAUGCUUUCUACUUAGACAUUAUCAAAUGAUUCAGCAUGCCUUACAGCCAUUUUCAUAACAAAUUUAAAGUCAUGAAAUGUUUAAAUUUGCAUGCGCUGACAGAUGAAAAACAAAUAGUGUGAGUUGUGUCACAAUUGUGGGAUUACAAAUUUGUACUAUGUUAUAUCUAAGUUCCAAUGUAAUAGUAUAUGAACUGAAAACUUUAUGUACAUUGUGUUUUACAUUUUGAGGUAAAGAUAAUGACAUUCUAAAGGAGAUCAAGGCAGUCAGCCCAGGUGUCUGAGACACUAACCUUUUGUCUUUAUGCACCUCCUGACCAUUUGACAUGACAAGCUCAAGUUACAGCUGUGCUUUUGUCUCUAUGAUAAUGUAAAGGUAUGGGCAAUACUGUCAGACUGUUUGGAUUAGCACCUAUGCAUUUGAAUGACACAGUUAUGCUGAUUAGAUCAUGGCUGGGAAAUGUAGGGAAUGGGCUGAUUUCCUGCGCUGCAUUUGCAUGCAUUGUUUAGUUUUUCUCCACCUCUACUCUAUGUAUCCCUCCCCCUUGAAUGUAUAUAAACUUCAAUGUACACUGCCUUAGUUAGAUUUUGGAUGACCACAGUGACGCACAACGUGUUUCUCAAUAAAGAGUAACUUCUGCUUCAAGAGAUCCCAAAGUCUCCUGGUCUAUGCUUCUGAGAUUGCCAACAACUCCUUCAUUCAUUUGAUUUGUUCAAACGGCUGAUUCAUUCAGGAAUGAAGUAAAUGGCUCUCUUUAUGAGUGCACCACUAAAUCAUUGAUUCACCCGAUUUCAUUCAGAAACAAAACACUGUUUAAUAACAACAUCAUACUUAAUUAAAAGCAAAACAUUUAUAAUAGUUUUAGAUAAAUGACCAUAUUAAUAAAAAAAACAUGCUCUAGAAAGUGACAAUGAUGUCCAUACCGUGAAUGAAAGCUUUACAAAAAUUGCAUAUAGUUUAAGUAGAAAUCUAAAAUCUCAGA